rnacentral:ribozyme from 13 species
UUUUUGGUUUCGUUUUGUUCUUUACACUCCACUUUGUUGAGUGGGCUGUUAUUUUUAAUAUCGAAAAAAAGACAAAAAAAAAAAGACAAAGACAAAGACUAGGUGUUUUAUUCUGCUUUACUCCUAUUUUCUAUUUUGUUGCGAUAUAAACAUAAACAAGUUUGAUUGAAUGUUCUUUAGUUACUUUGGCAUUGAUGAAAUUGAGUUGUGUUAUGAAAGAGUUCCGUUGUGACAUCUCCGAGAAACAGUGGAAUCGAGUUAUAGUUCUGGAGAUACACGGUGAACAUUUGAGGCUUUUCACGUUUCAAACGAAGAGCAAAUGGUGUUGAAAGAAGUUG